rnacentral:misc_RNA from 1 species
GAAAGCUGUCAUGUGUGGACACAGCUAGAAGAUGGUUGAGGACUGUGGAGUCCUUUACUCUGCUGCUAUAAAUAUACCAACUUCGGACCCAACCGCAAAGCCAGUGUUCUCCCCAAGCGCCUUCUUUAGACGCUUCAAAUAAGGACUUCUAAUUCUUCCCUAUCUCCAUAGCCACUUAGGUUUUCAGCUUUCAGAAAUCAAAUUCAAACUAGUGUUUCUUUUUGCCCAUUAAUGCUCCAGCUUUAAGUUUUCUUUUUCUGGCUCUCUAGAAUCUUUUCCUCAAUUCACAAAUUUCUUCAAAUCACUCUGUUUUCAAGAUCUUAGCUAUUUUCUCCUUUUUUUGCUUUUAUCUUUUUUUUCCUAAAACCCAUUUUUGAUUCUUGAAGGAAAGGGACAAAUUUUUAGUUCUCUGUUUCCUUCAUAUUCAUUUUCUUCACGAUUCUUUCUGUUUCGUCUGUUUCAAACCAUAGAGAGAAUGCAGGAAAACAACGUUCCUUUUGGAUUCGCUAACACUCCCGAUGUCGGAUCCUCUUUAUCGCAACUCAUUUUGGCGGGAGGCAGCAGCACCUUAGAUUCAAUUUUCUCUCAUUGCCCUCCAGAAAACACCAUUACCGGCCCUAUUUUUGAGCCUUUAGGCUCUUCUGUCUAUCUUCGCCAGAGAGAUCUCUUGCAAAAAUUUUGUGAAGAAAACAGAACAAAUAGGAUUACUUCGUUUUCUCGCAAUUUGUUAACAAGCCCACUUCAAAAUUCGGUGCGGACAAGCAAUUAUUUAGCUCCAAGCAAGAAGAAACUAUACAGGGGAGUUAGGCAAAGGCAUUGGGGGAAAUGGGUCGCGGAGAUUAGACUCCCUCAGAACCGAAUGAGAGUCUGGUUAGGUACCUAUGAUACUGCAGAAGCUGCAGCUUAUGCUUAUGAUCGUGCAGCUUAUAAGCUCAGAGGCGAAUAUGCGCGAUUGAAUUUCCCAAAUGUCAAGGAUCCCAGCAAGUUGGGAUUCACAGAUUGCAAUAGAUUGAAUGCUUUGAAGAAUUCAGUGGACGCCAAGAUUCAAGCUAUUUGCCAAAAAGUGAAAAGAGAGAGGGCCAAAAAGAUUGCAGCCAAGAAGAAAAAUGUUGAUGCUAAUGAUUCUGAGGGAGAUAAAGUGGUGAAGGUAAAUUCAAAUUCAUCAUCACCAUCCUCAUCAUCUUUAUCACCUAUUGUUUUUGAUGAUAGUUGGGGUGGUGAAUUGGUGUCACCAACUGUCUCUGAGGAUGGGUUCUGGAAGUGUGAAAAUUCUUCCCCCUCUGUUUCUAGAGAUUGUCCAAUGAUGACGCCAGAGGACAUGGAUUUUGACGGCUGCUCGCUCGCAAGAAUGCCUUCUUUUGAUCCUGAGUUGAUCUGGGAGGUUCUUGCUAAUUAAGGAACCAUUUCUUUUUUAGAAUCCAGAUGGUGAGAGACAUGUCUUAUAUGCCUCUGCCUAUUCUGUUAGUUGUAAUUGUAAAUGGUAGUUUCAAUAGGACUAUCUAAGUACUGUUUCUUGUUCUUUACUUCUUGUUAUAAGUUUGGUUAGAAAUUUUAGAUAUUGUUGCUAUUUUAGGUGAAGAGUUCUCUUCUUGUUUCAAGCUUGGCCUUUAUUUUUGUAUGAAGGCGGAUGAUCAUGCUACACAUAGAUUGGUGUUGUAUGAGAAGUUUGUAGCCUUGAGUUAGUUGUUGAGUAAUUUAAAUAUUUUACUUUUUUUUCCCCCUUGUUAUUG